rnacentral:misc_RNA from 1 species
GAAAGCUGCCUCAGGCCCACCUUUGAUAGGUGUGGGUCUGGACUUGGACGCUUGCCGUCUCUGGAUGGCUCGUCUCGAAAUGCAUUAGCCACCUUGCCAGGCUUGAAACCGGGUGUAAUAAGUUUGAACUUUGCCGCCUCGGGGUCGGGUCGUGUGGUCGGGUGGCUCACAACGUGUGACCUCUUGA